AAGUGAAGAGGGACAAGCUCAAAUUUUAAAUCUGUUGGGUUCUCCUGCACCGAGUUGUAAUUUGAAGAAGCGUUUUCCGCGCCGUUUGAUCAGUCCAAGUCCUUUGGGAUAAGGCAUCAUGGAGGGUGAGAAUCCCGUCCGGUUGAUCAGAUUCGCUUUACGAUACGCUUUCUAAGAGUCAAGUUGUUUGGGAUUGCAGCUUAAAAUGGGAGGUAAAUUUCUCCUAAGGCUAAAUAACGGCGAGAGACCGAUAGCGAACAAGUGCCGUGAGGGAAAGAUGAAAAGAACUUUGAAAAGAGAGUUAAACAGUACGUGAAAUUGUUGAAAGGGAAACGAUUGAAGCCAGUCGUACCUUCGGGUAAUCAGCCUUUCGGGUGCGAUUCUGUGGAGUGUGAGGAGCUUAACACCUUCAUGCUUUGCAUAUUUGUGCUCUUGGGUGUACUUGCCCGUGUGGUUGGUUAACAUCAAUUUUGGUUAUCAUAAAAUGAUUGGAGGAAGUAGCUUCGAUCUCGUAUUGAAGUGUUAUAGCCUUCGGUAGAUGUGAUGAUCGAGAUUGAGGAUUGCAACGGAUACCCUUCGGGGCUACCUGUCUGGUCUCUGAUCGUUGCUCUGGUGCCGAAAGCUUGCUUACGGUUAUCAAAGUCGAUGGUCAAUAGGUUAGAACGGGUUAAAUUCGUUA
rnacentral:rRNA from 1 species